CCAGACUCCUACGGGAGGCAGCAGUGGGGAAUAUUGCACAAUGGGGGGAACCCUGAUGCAGCGACGCCGCGUGGGUGAAGGAGCACCUCGGUGCGUAAAGCCCUAUCGGCAGGGAAGAAACAGACGGUACCUGACCAAGAAGCCCCGGCUAACUACGUGCCAGCAGCCGCGGUAAUACGUAGGGGGCCAGCGUUAUCCGGAUUUACUGGGUGUAAAGGGAGCGUAGACGGCUGUGCAAGUCUGAAGUGAAAGCCCGUGGCUCAACCGCGGAACUGCUUUGGAAACUGUAUAGCUUGAGUACUGGAGAGGCAGGCGGAAUUCCUAGUGUAGCGGUGAAAUGCGUAGAUAUUAGGAGGAACACCAGUGGCGGAGGCGGCCUGCUGGACAGAAACUGACGUUGAGGCUCGAAAGCGUGGGGAGCAAACAGGAUUAGAUACCCGAGUACAG
rnacentral:rRNA from 1 species